GACGAACCGUGCGAACGUUGUUCGGAAUCACUGGGCUUAAAGCGCGUGUAGGCGGGUCGGCGCGUCGGCCGCUGAAAUCCCCCGGCUCAACCGGGGAAGGGGCGCCGAGACGGCCGGCCUGGAGGGACGUAGGGGGGGCUGGAACUUCCGGUGGAGCGGUGAAAUGCGUUGAGAUCGGAAGGAACGCCCGUGGCGAAAGCGAGCCCCUGGACGUCUACUGACGCUGAGACGCGAAAGCCAGGGGAGCGAACGGG
rnacentral:rRNA from 1 species